GCCAAACAUUUUAAACCAAUAAAACUGUUCCCUUUUUUUUUUCCUAAGUAAAAUCAUCAGAAUUGCGGAAUUUCGAAGUUGCAAGUAUUGAAAUGGAAGUAAUGGCCGGCGUUACUCCCUGCAGGAGCCAGGGACGAGUAGGGAGGUGAAGUGAGGUGGACGCUGGUCUGACUUGCGGGGGUUUCAGUGCUUCCCUGGGCGACUGGAUUCUGCGCUGGACACACGGGAGCUCCGCUGCGGUGUCGGGCACGUCACCCAGGCACACUUGGAUCAGUGUAGAACAAGGCACGUCUUUACAGGCGCCGCCUGAAGUAUCUGAAGUCAACUUUGUUGUUAAUGUAAGUUUCAGGAAUCCUGGGCGGGUGCUGAAGCAGGCGGAUACAAUAUAGUCUUUGUGUAUCUUGGUUCCCUUGCUGUCAAAUAAGAAAACGCAAACCCCGUCAUCAAACGAAAGUAUUUUGAAAAGUAUUCGUGAAACACUCCUGGCAGUUGAUGAGGAAGUUCAUUUGAUAUUUCAUGCUCUUCAGUGAAGUCUUGAGACACAACUUGAAAUAAAGGGAUAAAAAGAAACGCUAAAUGUUCACUGAACUGUGCAAAGAGAAAAAGACUAUGCCUGCCUAAUUAGAGAAUGACGUUUUAAUUCUAAGACGUUUUAAUUCUUGUUUAAAAAAUGAAAUUCAGAGGGAGCUGGGGGCAGUGUCUCGCUACACCUUUUGGCUGACAGAAGCCUUUGCUGCAGUAGGUUGCUCUCGCGGGGAGCAGCCGGCAGAGGGAGAUGGGAUGCACCUAUCCUGGAGACUCCACUGAUGUUUCAAGAUCAGAAAAUGUAAGAAAAAUCCCAUUGUCAUAAUGCAGAAAUAAAAAUGUGGUCAUGUUUAGUAGAUUAUGACCCAGGGUUAAGAAUGUGAACAGUAUUGCUGCAGAGAGGAAUUUUAAGUGAUGUAUGUGAAACUGCCAAAAUGAGAAUUGCAGCUGAAGGAAGUGAGCCAGCAGUCUAACUACAAUCAAUACCCAGGUUAAGUAAACAAUUACAGUCUGCCAGAGUUGGAAGAAAAUCCACGCAGCCUGACAGGGUACCUGCAGUGUCUUCAGUUCUUUCAGAUCUGUGGCAGGUGGUCUUCCUCAGAUCAUCUCAGGUGAUGCCAGGCUGGAACAUCGACCACUUCCACCUU